rnacentral:rRNA from 1 species
GACAGGUGCUGCAUGGCUGUCGUCAGCUCGUGUCGUGAGAUGUUGGUUAAGUCCGCAACGAGCGCAACCCCUAUCUUUAGUUGCCAUCAUUGAGUUGGGCACUCUAAAGAGACUGCCGGUGUCAAACCGGAGGAAGGUGGGGAUGACGUCAAGUCCUCAUGGCCUUUAUGACCAGGGCUACACACGUACUACAAUGGCCGGUACAAAGGGCAGCGACACAGCGAUGUGAAGCCAAUCCCGAAAAGCCGGUCUCAGUCCGGAUUGGAGUCUGCAACUCGACUCCAUGAAGUUGGAAUCGCUAGUAAUCGCGGAUCAGCACGCCGCGGUGAAUACGUUCCCGGGCCUU